UACGUAUGGUGCAAGCGUUAAUCGGAAUUACUGGGCGUAAAGCGUGCGCAGGCGGUUGUGCAAGACCGAUGUGAAAUCCCCGGGCUUAACCUGGGAAUGGCAUUGGUGACUGCACGGCUAGAGUGUGUCAGAGGGGGGUAGAAUUCCACGUGUAGCAGUGAAAUGCGUAGAGAUGUGGAGGAAUAUCGAUGGCGAAGGCAGCCCCCUGGGAUAACACUGACGCUCAUGCACAAAAGCGUGGGGAGCAAACAGG
rnacentral:rRNA from 1 species